ACGACGCUGGCGGCGUGCCUAACACAUGCAAGUCGAGCGAGGAGAUCCUUCGGGAUGAUCCUAGCGGCGGACGGGUGAGUAACACGUGGGCAACCUGCCUCAUAGAGAGGAAUAGCCUUCCGAAAGGGAGAUUAAUACCUCAUAACAUUGCAGUUUCGCAUGGAACAGCAAUUAAAGGAGCAAUCCGCUAUGAGAUGGGCCCGCGGCGCAUUAGCUAGUUGGUGAGGUAACGGCUCACCAAGGCGACGAUGCGUAGCCGACCUGAGAGGGUGAUCGGCCACAUUGGGACUGAGACACGGCCCAGACUCCUACGGGAGGCAGCAGUGGGGAAUAUUGCACAAUGGGGGAAACCCUGAUGCAAGCAACGCCGCGUGAGUGAUGACGGCCUUCGGGUUGUAAACCUCUGUUGCAGGGGAAGAAGAAAGUGACGGUACCCUGCGAGGAAGCUCCGGCAAACUACGUGCCAGCAGCAGC
rnacentral:rRNA from 1 species